rnacentral:rRNA from 1 species
AUUGAACGCUGGCGGCAGGCCUAACACAUGCAAGUCGAGCGAGCGGCGGACGGGUGAGUAAUGUCUGGGAAACUGCCUGAUGGAGGUGGAUAACUACUGGAAACGGUAGCUAAUACCGCAUACCAUCAGAUGUGCCCAGAUGGGGCUAGUUAGUGGGGGGGGUAACGGCUCACCUAGGCGACGAUCCCUAGUUGGUCUGAGAGGAUGACCAGCCACACGUGAACUGAGACACGGUCCAGACUCCUACGGGAGGCAGCAGUGGGGAAUAUUGCACAAUGGGAGAAAGCCUGAUGCAGCCAUGCCGCGUGUGUGAAGAAGGCCUUCGGGUUGUAAAGCACUUUCAGUGGGGAGGCGUUACCCGCAGAAGAAGCACCGGCUAACUCCGUGCCAGCAGCCGCGGUAAUAC